rnacentral:rRNA from 1 species
AAGAACCUUACCAGGUCUUGACAUCCUCUGACAAUCCUAGAGAUAGGACGUCCCCUUCGGGGGCAGAGUGACAGGUGGUGCAUGGUUGUCGUCAGCUCGUGUCGUGAGAUGUUGGGUUAAGUCCCGCAACGAGCGCAACCCUUGAUCUUAGUUGCCAGCAUUCAGUUGGGCACUCUAAGGUGACUGCCGGUGACAAACCGGAGGAAGGUGGGGAUGACGUCAAAUCAUCAUGCCCCUUAUGACCUGGGCUACACACGUGCUACAAUGGACAGAACAAAGGGCAGCGAAACCGCGAGGUUAAGCCAAUCCCACAAAUCUGUUCUCAGUUCGGAUCGCAGUCUGCAACUCGACUGCGUGAAGCUGGAAUCGCUAGUAAUCGCGGAUCAGCAUGCCGCGGUGAAUACGUUCCCGGGCCUUGUACACACCGCCCGUCACACCACGAGAGUUUGUAACACCCGAAGUCGGUGAGGUAACCUUUUAGGAGCCAGCCGCCGAAGGUGGGACAGAUAAU